rnacentral:misc_RNA from 1 species
GUUGCAAAUGACAAUUAUUUUACUUUUCAAUAUGAUGUAUGGUGGUUUUUCCUCCCCUCUUUAAGGUGGCAUCUCAAGGGAGUGGGCAUGUUAUGUUCUUUUAGAUUUGAUUGUCAACAAAACGUAAGGUGCUAGGUUUUCACUUAAGUUUUUGUUUGAGUUUUUCAUCCAAGGAUUAAAAUAUGCACAUUGAAGGAGCUUUAUGAUUGUAUUUGGUUAGCAAUAUCCACGUAUCAGAUGAUAGUUUUAUCAGUGUUUGGAGAAACAUAAAUUUUUAUUGGUAGAAAAUCCAUAGUUAUCAUGGCUGUCGUGCAGAUAUGAGAAAUGGAUUUUUUUUUUCAUUUACUAUAAUUUGACCUUAAAUCAAAUUUGUUGGCAGUGGUUUCCUGAGGUUAUAUCAAAUGGUUCAUCCAUCCAUCAGGUAAAUGAAUCUUGUGUUUCCAUGAUUUCUUCACACAUUAAUCCUAGCAAAAAUCUACAUGCAGGUAUGCUCAAUCAAUUAUCAUUAUCUUAAGAGAUCCUGAAUUUUAUUGUAAUAAAUUAUUUUUAUAUGAUAACAGGGAAUUGGUGGUGUUGCAGCUGAAAUGCUAACA